CAUGCAUGUGGCCACUUGAGUUUCCCAAACUUCUCCAGUGUCAGACCAGGAGCUGAAGCUUCAUGUAAAGAAAUCUGAUUCUCUGCCUAGAUGUUCCGAGGCUGAUGAUAAUAAGUGGCUGGCGCACGUUCCCUCCGAAGAUGAGUCAAGACAGACAUAGUCAAGCAACACACCAGUUUAUCAGUCAGGUGUAGCUCCACCUGCUGAUUGGAAGGCCUGUAGCUUGGAAAUCCUCAACCAGGUUGGGAGACAAUAUGGAGAUCAGAAAAUUGUGCUGAUUUGUGUUUGUCAUUCAGUGCAAACCUGCUUCGAGCUCAGCGUACAGGACUAUGGAGAAGUUAAAAUGCCUACGUGAACUAGGAAUGGAACAAGUAUAAG